rnacentral:lncRNA from 1 species
UUUUUUUUUAAUAUUAAACAUAUUUUAUUAACAAUCACCUGUUACAUCAACCCUCAGUUGCCCAGGGAAGCAACUAAGGAGACCCCAUUUUUUAACAGUCUCAUUUGUCGGGGAAAAAGCAAAUGAGAAAAAAACUCCCACUAUAAAUUAUUAACAUCAACCUUUAUAAAUAUUAUCUAUCCUUGUACAAAUGUACAUGUACCUGCAAUCAUUAUCGAUCUAUAUAUCUAUACCUCUCACCAUAUAUAAUUAUUUGAAUAAAAUAUGUUUUUUAUCUUUAUUUAUUUCUCACAAAGGCUACCUGUAUUUAUUAAGCAGUUUCAAUUUUAUCGUACAUCAAGUCUUUUGUUAUG